AGGCAUAAGUUGAUAUUCUCUUACCUUAGGAUUUAACUUCUACCUUAUUAAAGAAUAAAAGUUGUUCGAUAUUUUUUUUAGAAAAGGAGUACCUUGUUGAAAGAACUAAUGCCUUUAAUAUGAAAAUUAUGAAGUUCGGCAGGAAGAAGAACCGACAUAAUCUAGUAAACCCAUAGAACUGAAUUUGAUUAGAUCAAAUCUGAAAUCUAUUGUAGAGGCACCAUUAAGA
rnacentral:lncRNA from 1 species